ACGUAUAACAUACGAUAAUGCGGCGCGGAUUCACGGCUCGGCGACUGUUUGUUACGAAAUUACAUUUUACUCAAACUCGUUUUGAUAUCAGGGUCCUUAAUUGGCUUUAGAAAUGUGAAGUUUUAGCGGCGCGCGAUCUGUGAUGGAUAAACAUAACGCACCGCCUUCACCGCUCCCGUGACACCCGCACGACGUGCCACGCUCCAGCGAGGCCGAUGAAGUUAUUAGCUGGUAAUUGUCAUCGAUGCCAGUUUUGGUUUCUUGUCUUUCAUAUAUUAUUAGAAUAUUGCCGUAGCAAUGCUUGACUAUUAAGAGUUGACGAAACUUAAAGAAGCAGCAGCUGGCGUAACCUACGCGUCCUCGUGAUCAAGGACGUUAGAUUUGUUUGCACAAUCUGAAACAUGUUUGGUUUGACCUGGAAAGUAAUCCGACACAAAAUGCCUUCAAAACUAGCCGCUACUAUUAUUUUGUAAAGAACUUGCAGGCGAUAUUUUAAAAGUGUACAAACGAGUGGAUGCUAACAUGUCGCGGAGCAGCAAGCUCGUCGCUCGUGCAGGGCAGUACUCACGCGCGGAUUCGUGCUGCGUUUAAUGUUUCAGUUACUGACCAUAUUUUAAGUGAUACGCACAUAAUAAUUUAUGUCAACGAUAUCCUUAAUCCGCGGCAAUAAAGUGACAGACUAAAUAAUUUGAUAGUCGAUGAGAAACGUCGUAAGUGCGGGUGUGAGGAGUGCGCCGACGACGUUUCGUAGCGCGGCCCCGUCGCGCAGACCCAUAGAUCCCACGCGCCGGCGAGCCUGCGCCAAACUGGUCGAUCGACUCUUGCGCAACUCGGAGACUACAGUUGGUUUCCAAUUUUAUGUUGACCGGUUUCAAAGUUGUCUUAGCCUUCUAAUUUCGGCUCGUUUAGAUUGGAAAAUACGUCGACAAAGAUAUACGAAAUGAAACUCCGACGGGUGAGAUCAGAGCUCAUGUUUUCACUCACGUAGCGCGCUCGUCGCCGCCCGCAUUAAGAUUCCUACCGAACAUUGUCUGUCGUGGCUGUUAAAUCAUUAAUUAAACACAUUAUGGCAUUGAAAGUAACUUGGACUUUCGUAUUUUUAUUUAAGAAUGUUUGAAAUACUUAUAUGUUUUAGAAGACGAUGAACUUAUUUAAUUAAUUAUCAUGUAGAGGUAAUGUCUCCAUGACAUAGGUCAUGCACUAAUAGCGUUCAUGUUCAGGCAAUGACGCGUGAUGUCGCGUGUCGCGGGUCGGCGCGGCGCGGCGCGUCCUGCGUCCCACGCGUGCCCUGUACAAAUACUGUCGGCGGGAGUCCGCGCACAAAUCAACGCGAUCGGACGUGCGCGCAGUGGACCCCCGGUGGCAGGCGCGCCGGCAGGGCUGGCCCUCGACAACACCACUCGGGCAAGCCAGGAUAUGUUCUCUCGGCACUGCCAGUCAAUUACAUAUGUAUGUGAAGCUUAUAAGCACAGAAAUUGUAGGUCCUGCGCUGGGCUGAGCCGUGGUGCUGGCGGCGGGCAGCCCUGCUGCGGCCCCCCGGCGCGGCGACAGCGCCAACAUCUCUCACCUCCGGGGCCCCGUAAUGAACAAUAUAAAUGUGCCAUUUGCUGGCCCCGCCGAGCCUCGACACCCUCCACAACACUCCUCUACGUACAGGUAGCGGUUGGUGUCACCUGGUCGCCAGGGGUCGGCAGCUGGUCCAUUGUGGGGCUCAUCACUUGACUCGCGCGAAAGGGAUGCCUCGCAUGUGAACCGCUAACGGAAUCCUGGGAAUGGAUGCUCCCGCGCAGAUAAUGCGCAACACAACUAGUAUUGUACUACACAAUGGUAAUGCGAUAUACUGCGCUUGUUUUGAACAUGUACCAAAGUUUAUGAUCCUGUUAUAAUAAAACUAUAAAAAUAUUUACUCGCUUCCUAAUUGAUGUCACAUAUAUUAAUCUAUAAAUAAUAGACCUCAAGGCGUCUACCUGCUCACAAUUUACAUAUUAUCUGACGACUCGCAUAAAAUGGAUGGAAUUUAUUUUACACUAGUUGGCAAUGAUAUGAUGUGUCCAUAUUAUAGAAAACGAGUAAUAAAAUAAUGUCGACCGUAAACGACAGUUUUGGUAAUCAAAUACAGUGGUAACGAAGGGAAUACGGUUAUAUGUAAAUAAGCAUUCAGCUUGUUAAAGGAUCCAGCCUGUCCCCGUAAGAAAGAUCAGUUUAGAAAAAUAUAAAUUAAUAAAAAGAGUGGCAACCAAAAGAAACACGAGUAUAUCGGAGCGGUGCGUGUAGUUGCCGAUUUUCUAAUAUAUCACAAACAUUAAUAUGCCUGCGACCGGUUCUUGUGAGAUCCGUUAGUGGCCUUAUGUAAAUUAUUUGGUUUAUGGCCCCCUAGUUUACAUCGAAAUGUUUUAACUUAAAACAUACCAAAUGUCCACGUAGAAAUCGAUUUCGUACUUACGCCAAUAAGGUGAAAUAUUGAAGCCAACUUAUAGAAAGUAUAAUUUAUAGCCCAUCAUAAAAAGAUAUUAGCAACCAAAUAACCAAACUCAGGAAUAAUGGUUAUAGAUGUAAGAGCGAUGACUAAUUAGUACUCACUGAGAUUGAAAUAAGUUUGAAAUUUUGUGACAUGUUUGCUGGGCAUUGGAUACAGGUAGCGUUGCCAGGCGUCCGGAUAAAGUCAGACAUAUUUAGGAUUUUGGAUUGCAUGUCCGGCUAAGAUAAACGGUGUCCGUCUUGUCCGGCUUUUGUUAGGCUUUUUACGAUAAGUAAA